rnacentral:rRNA from 1 species
GACAGAGGGUGCAAGCGUUGUUCGGAAUUAUUGGGCGUAAAGCGCGCGUAGGCGGUUUUGUAAGUCGAAUGUGAAAUCCCGUGGCUCAACCAUGGAAGUGCAUUCGAAACUGCGAGACUGGAGUAUCGGAGAGGGUGGUGGAAUUCCCAGUGUAGAAGUGAAAUUCGUAGAUAUUGGGAGGAACACCAGUGGCGAAGGCGACCACCUGGACGAUUACUGACGCUGAGGCGCGAGAGCGUGGGGAGCAAACAGG